rnacentral:lncRNA from 1 species
AGCCGCGUAGACAUUUGUAUAGAAUAAAUCUCUACCAUUACAUAUCCCAAUCUCGAUUUCAACAUAUCUAACCUAUAAAUCAAAUAGCCAUUGGGCCUUGAAGAGUAUUGCUAGGCUUCCAUCAUGGUUGUGUCCAUGUAACCACUUCUAAUCAAAUUGGUGCCCUCUAACGAAGCCGAAACUGGGCCGAUUGAAAGCAACGCAUGUCCAUAAAAGGGUGAAUAUCAUCUUCAGUACCUUGGGGCCCUCAAAUUGGUGGCAGAUCAUGAAGCAAUCUUUAGCUAAAAAACCAAAUCUUGCUAGGUAAAAUUUGUACAAACCCAAUAAUGCCCGGGCCCAACUAAACCUAGAAUGGCCCAACACCUAACCCAAACUAAACAGCCCACUAACUAAAUUCCAGCAGCAACCCUAGCAGCAUACAACCUUCAACCCUAGCCGCCGCACAUCAGCCCUGCACCACCACCCUUUGCGCACGUACGUGUCCCACGUACAUCCCCAGUUGGCUGAAUCUGAGCAACAAACGGCAAAACAGACGCAAAGAACAAGUAAACGAAAGAGAAAAACGCAAAAAAGGAGAGAACAACGGAAAUACAAAGUUGUUGUGUUAUUUCUUUGAUUUUUUCUUUAUUUUUUCGGCUAUAUAAAGUCGAGGAAAAUCUGUAAAUAUGGGGGGAUUUUUGGUGUAAAAGAGGACGGAGAUAUACGAGAAAUAGAAAAGAAAUACAGAGAAAAUUUAUUUUUCGAAGGUUUUCUACUUUGUUCAUCGUUUCUUUUUGUAUAUAUCUAUAUUAUUUUUCUUUUUAUUUUCGUUUUAGUUUACUUAAAACAACAAAGAAAAGAGAGGAAAAGGCUUGCCUUUAGCCGAAACCGUCGAAUCGGUCCCCCUCCGUCGCGAUCGGAGGUCGGGGCGUCGUCGGAGGCCGUGGAAUGGCUUGAGCGGUGGCGGCGGCGGCAUGGAAAAGAAACCCUAGCAGAGAGUUUCUCUGCUAUUGCUUUUAAAAAAGGGAAAAAAAUGAAUUUUGGUGAAAAUUUUGGCCUUUUAUAAU